rnacentral:rRNA from 1 species
CAAUAAGCGGAGGAAAAGAAACCAACAGGGAUUGCCUUAGUAGCGGCGAGCGAAGCGGCAACAGCUCAAAUUUGAAAUCUGGCUACUUCGUAGUCCGAGUUGUAAUUUGUAGAGGAUGCUUUUGGUGAGGUGCCUUCCGAGUUCCCUGGAACGGGACGCCGGAGAGGGUGAGAGCCCCGUACGGUUGGAUACCAAACCUUUGUAUAGCUCCUUCAACGAGUCGAGUAGUUUGGGAAUGCUGCUCUAAAUGGGAGGUAUAUCUCUUCUAAAGCUAAAUACCGGCUAGAGACCGAUAGCGCACAAGUAGAGUGAUCGAAAGAUGAAAAGCACUUUGAAAAGAGAGUUAAACAGCACGUGAAAUUGUUGAAAGGGAAGCGCCUAUGACCAGACUUGUUUCUGUCAGUUUUGCUUGUUUUCGGACUUGUUUACUCUGUCAGUACAGGCCAACAUCAGUUUGUUGUUUGGGAGAAAGGCUUAGGGAAUGUGGCUCUUUCGGGAGUGUUAUAGCCCUUUGCAUAAUACCAUUCGGCAGACUGAGG